CUUAAUAUAACCGAUUAUUCAAAGUCCCAUAAUCGAUUAUCUCAGAAUCACUUAACCAAACAAUACUUACUGCCUUCAUAUAAUCGAUUACCCCAGUCACAUAAUCGAUUAUCUGUCUUCUGACUAAUUCAAAUAUUGUCCAUAAUCGAUUAUUCAGGUUUAAUAAUCGAUUCUCAAACGGUCAGUAUUCGAAUUUUGUUACCGUUUGGCUCCUGCAACACUCACAUAAUC
rnacentral:lncRNA from 1 species